AUUGAACGCUGGCGGCAUGCUUUACACAUGCAAGUCGAACGGUAACAGGCCGAGAGGUGCUUCCUACGGGCGGACGGGUGCGGAAGGCUUCGGAACGCACCCGGACGUAGGGUUUAACUACGCGAAACGGUAGCUAAUACCGGCUACGAUCUCAGAAUGCAUGCGGGGGACCGCAGGGGCUCUCGCGAUUGGAGGCGCCGAUGUCAGAUUAGGUAGUUGGUGGGGUAAAGGCGCACCAAGGCAACGAUCUGUAGCUGGUCUGAGAGGAUGAUCAGCCACACUGGAACUGAGACACGGCCCAGACUCCUACGGGAGGCAGCAGUGGGGAAUAUUGGACAAUGGGCGCAAGCCUGAUCCAGCAAUGCCGCGUGCAUGAAGAAGGCCUUCGGGUUGUAAACUGCUUUUGUACGGAAAGAAACGCCGCUGGUUAAUACCCGGGUCUAAUGACGGUACCGAAAGAAUAAGCACCGGCUAACUACGUG
rnacentral:rRNA from 1 species